AAGACAGAGGGGGCAAGCGUUGCUCGGAAUUACUGGGCGUAAAGGGCGCGUAGGCGGGAUGGCAAGUCGGUUGUGAAAUCCUUCGGCUCAACCGAAGAACGUCGAUCGAUACUGCCAUUCUUGAGGGAUGCAGAGGAGACUGGAAUUCCCGGUGUAGCGGUGAAAUGUGUAGAGAUCGGGAGGAACACCGGUGGCGAAGGCGGGUCUCUGGGCAUCUCCUGACGCUGAGGCGCGAAAGCGUGGGGAGCAAACGGGA
rnacentral:rRNA from 1 species